GAUACUAGGUCCCGGGCCACUUGGAUGGGGCGUCGGACUGGCCUUUCCCAUGGCCAGCUGAAGCCCGUGUUCUUACCCCCCCGCCCGCAGAGCGCAGCAGUUCGGAGCGGCAGCCGAGCGGCCUGUCCUUCGAGUAUCCGCGGGACCCGGAGCAUCGCAGUUAUAGCGACCGCGGGGAGCCAGGCGCUGAGGAGCGGGCCCGUGGUGACGGCCACACGGACUUCGUGGCGCUGCUGACAGGGCCGAGGUCGCAGGCGGUGGCACGAGCCCGAGUCUCGCUGCUGCGCUCUAGCCUCCGCUUCUCUAUCUCCUACAGGCGGCUGGACCGCCCUACCAGGAUCCGCUUCUCAGACUCCAAUGGCAGUGUCCUGUUUGAGCACCCUGCAGCCCCCACCCAAGAUGGCCUGGUGAGAUGAUGCCAUUUAUGAGCACUUGCCCAGUCUGGGCACUGUGCCGAGAGCAUGCUCUGCAUUGCCUCCCGUGGUCCUCACCACAGCCCAGUGGGAGGAAGGCACUGACAUUAUGAUGCCCAUUUUACAGAAGGGGGAACUGAGGCUCAG
rnacentral:lncRNA from 10 species